rnacentral:rRNA from 1 species
CCCGACUGCUAUCAGAAUAGGACUAAGCCAUGCGAGUCAACGUAGCAAUACGUGGCAUACGGCUCAGUAACACGUAGUCAACAUGCCCAGGGGACGUGGAUAACCUCGGGAAACUGAGGAUAAACCGCGAUAGGUCAUAAUAUCUGGAAUGAUUUCUGGCUGAAAUCUAUAUGGCCCCUGGAUUGGACUGCGGCCGAUCAGGCUGUUGGUGAGGUAAUGGCCCACCAAACCUAAAACCGGUACGGGCUCUGAGAGGAGAAGCCCGGAGAUGGGCACUGAGACAAGGGCCCAGGCCCUAUGGGGCGCAGCAGGCGCGAAAACUCUGCAAUAAGCGAAAGCUUGACAGGGUUAUUCUGAGUGAUUUCCGCUAAGGAAAUCUUUUGGCACCUCUAAAAAUGGUGCAGAAUAAGGGGUGGGCAAGCCUGGUGUCAGCCGCCGCGGUAAUACCAGCACCCCGAGUGGUCGGGACGAUUAUUGGGCCUAAAGCAUCCGUAGCCGGUUCUACAAGUCUUCCGUUAAAUCCACCUGCUUAACAGAUGGGCUGCGGAGGAUACUAUGGAGCUAGGAGGCGGGAGAGGCAAGCGGUACUUAGUGGGUAGGGGUAAAAUCCGUUGAUCCAUUGAAGGCCACCAGUGGCGAAGGCGGCUUGCCAGAACGCACUCGACGGUGAGGGAUGAAAGCUGGGGGAGCAAACCGGAUUAGAUACCCGGGUAGUCCCAGCUGUAAACGAU